AUUCUUAUAUCAAUAAAAUCAAAUUUUUAAAAUUAUUAGGUCCAAAAAGUGAUAAAGUUAUGAGAUAACUUGAUCAUUGCCUCCCAUUAAGGUGUGUCAUAAUGAGUCUAAUAUUCCAAAUAGGCAUUGGAGGAGCCAUACGCCUAGUGUCUAUUACAUAUUAAAAUUAUCAUUCAUUAUAUGGCCAUCAUGAUGUACCU
rnacentral:lncRNA from 1 species